CAUCCAAAAACGAUAGAAGCUUUAAUGCGUGCACAAAGUUGGUUGUGGGCUGCUGAAAUGCCAGGUGAGGCAUCCACAGGAUAUGCAACCAUAUAUAAUGAUAUGGAACAGGAAGAUUCAUGCAUUACUCGCGAGGUUUAAGGAGCUAUGAGGACUGAGAACUGAGAAGGGGAGUUUUGUGAUUUUGCCACGAUGAAGAAUCUUUGCUGCUUAAUGUUACCAGGC